CCUACGGGAGGCAGCAGUGAGGAAUAUUGGUCAAUGGGCGCGAGCCUGAACCAGCCAAGUAGCGUGAAGGAUGACUGCCCUACGGGUUGUAAACUUCUUUUGUGAAGGAAUAAAGUGAGGCACGUGUGCCUUUUUGUAUGUACUUUAUGAAUAAGGAUCGGCUAACUCCGUGCCGGCAGCCGCGGUAAUACGGAGGAUCCGAGCUUUAUCCGGAUUUAUUGGGUUUAAAGGGAACGUAGAUGGGUUGUUAAGUCAGUUGUAAAAGUUUGCGGCUCAACCGUAAAAUUGCAAUUGAUACUGGCAGUCUUGAGUAUAGUAGAGGUAGGCGGAAUUCGUGGUGUAGCGGUGAAAUGCGUAGAGAUCACGAAGAACUCCGAUUGCGAAGGCAGCUUACUAAACUGCCACUGACAUUGAUGCUCGAAAGUGUGGGUAUCAAACAGGAUUAGAUACCCUGGUAGUC
rnacentral:rRNA from 1 species